CGUCGACUCCAAAACGUCACUGUAAUAUAAUAAUAUAAUCGUAAUCGAGUGCGAGUGUCGGUGGUGUGUUUUCAGCAGACAGAACCCAGAGAAGUGAACAGGCUGUCUUUACUGACGACCCCCCCCCCGCCUCAGGAUGGACAACGAUGUUAAAGGAACGGUGCAGAGAAGGUGAUCCUCUGCAGGUCCGCCGUGAAGCACGUUAGAGAAAUAUCAUCUGAAAGAAGAAAAGACCGUUCUCUUUCAAGAGUGAUGCGUCCGUGGCCGCGGCCCCAGUAUUUUGAGACAUUGGUUCGCCAUGACACCUGCAGCUGCCCUGGUUGGCCAUUUUGGAGUAAAGACACACUGAAGGGUGGAUCCAGGAGAUCUGGAGAAGAAACAUGACCGUUAAACGUGGGAGAAUCAGCCAACGCUGCAGUAACAAUCACGCCUCCUCCCUUGCGCCUCCUCUAUGGGUCUAAGGUAGAAAAAUAUUCCUUAUUGUUUUUUUUAUUAUUCAUUCCCACGAGACUUCAUUGGGUGGUACAUUGAUUUGAGGACCUCUUUGUUACACAGGGCACAAAUGGUCUGUUGUGGUUGGGGCCCGUAAUCUUGCAGAAAUUGAGAGCUUGGUCUUUUUUUUAGAAUUACUUUUAUUAUCAGUAAUGCUAGAGAAGUAUUGUCUAUUUACAAAAGGGUCCGUUGACAUCUCAGAUCCAGAGAGCAGAAUGGAGACGUGUACUAUUAGGUAUCCACGCCACCCGUUUCCCCUUUAAUGUUCAUGUUGGUCUCCAUAAUAACCAUUUCAUUGUAGUGAAACUCGUCAUACUGGUAUGAAAGUGCCUAUAGCCACAGGUAAUCUAAGCCUCGUGAAACUUUACAACCCUUAACUACAGAGUAGGUUUUAUUUAUGGCCUUUUCUUAGCAGUUUCCAGAACAAUUACGCAAAUACAGUCGUUAUAUCAGUUUUUCAAAUCAAAUCAGUGAGUGCAUCAUCUUGUGUUGAUGGAAGAAUAGUUGAUAUUUGUUUUUUCAUCAAUUCACAAGUAGUAACUUUAAAUUUAAAUCCAAACUUGGCAGCACAUUUAUGUAAUUAUUAGCUUUAGUAUUGUAUUGUUAGUAUAUUAUCUGCAACAACAUACAUUCUUGAAUAUCCAUCAUAAUGUUCGUAGAACACUUUCAAAAUGUAUUUUUAAAUAAUUGAUUAUUCAAAUGAUUUUUUUCUGAUUGAUAUUGAUAACUUAACACAUCAGGCUAAGACAUCUAACUGAAGGUUUGCAUCUAGUUCAUU